AACGAACGCUGGCGGCAUGCCUAACACAUGCGAGUCGAACGAGACCUUCGGGUCUAGUGGCGCACGGGUGCGUAACGCGUGGGAACCUGCCCUUAGGUUCGGAAUAACUCCCCGAAAGGGGUGCUAAUACCGGAUAAUGUCUUCGGACCAAAGAUUUAUCGCCUUUGGAUGGGCCCGCGUUGGAUUAGCUAGUUGGUAGGGUAAAAGCCUACCAAGGCGACGAUCCAUAGCUGGCCUGAGAGGAUGAUCAGCCACACUGGGACUGAGACACGGCCCAGACUCCUACGGGAGGCAGCAGUGGGGAAUAUUGGACAAUGGGCGAAAGCCUGAUCCAGCAAUGCCGCGUGAGUGAUGAAGGCCUUAGGGUUGUAAAGCUCUUUUACCCGGGAUGAUAAUGACAGUACCGGGAGAAUAAGCUCCGGCUAACUCCGUG
rnacentral:rRNA from 1 species